UCAGGUGUGAAGUCCCAACUCGCCUCUGUCUGACACGGGCAGGCACACUCGCAGGUCUGGGCACGAGGCAGGCAGCAAGCACACGGACACAGCGGAGAGUUCCUGUUCUAGAGAGCUGGCAGCUUCCUUGGGAGAGCAUAAAAAAUUAAGUCUCCAAAUGUUCUAUGUUGGAUGGGGGUCCAUGUUCUUAAAAGGAAUAGACGAGGGUAAGUCGAGAGGUGCUGAGUUGGAGGAGGGCUUCCUAUGAGGUCCAUCUCAGCAGCCCUAAAAUGGGUGUGGGAUAAGCUUUCG
rnacentral:lncRNA from 1 species